CCUAGCCUUCAGGCCUUUGUGGCCCUCCAGGACAGCUGUCCUCUGUGUGGUGACUCAGAGACUCAGCUGCUUCUGUACUGUUGGAUCUGUCAUCUCAACGUGAAGCUUAUGAAUUUGCCCCAGCAGGGGAAGUGAGAGAAUGGAGACUCUCACAGGGGAUUUUCACUGCUUCCAGCCAGGAAGUGACACAUGCUACUUGGAAGAAGGAAGAUCCUGAUUAAAUGCUGAGAGACUUGGCCUUCCCAGAAGCACAUACCACUGAGUCCUGUGAUGUCCCCCAGAGAGAAAGAAAGUAACAUUCACUGCCCUUCAUCAGAUUCAGCUGCCUGUGGGACUCGGACAGAUGUGCUCAGGUGAUUUUACAACUCCUGCGUAGGGUCAAGUCCAGAUGAUCAGCAGAGAUUUUCCACAAAGGCCUCCAUCCUCCUGAGGAUCCCAUCUGCACACAGAGAAGCAGAGGCUCCUUCAGGCUGCACAUGCAGCUCCAUUAACCAGAGAAAACUCAGCUCAUAUGCCAGGAAGAUAGACUGAGGUUGGUAAAUACACCUGGAUGGAUUUUUCAUCAGAAGCCAUUGUUUGGUCCAUAGAGAAGCGUUUCCAAACCAGUGUCUCAUAUCUAGGCCAAAUAGACUGUCACAGGCCACAGAAUACUCUCCAGUGCACACCACUGAGUUUCCCUGAAAGCCAUUUACUAUUUUUCUACAAACUUUUUGUAUUCCCCACUCUGCCCAUCUACUAUCCAAAAGGAGUUCUUCCGUUUCCACAUCACCGUUAGUGCUUCCCUGCCUGUAACAAAUGCUCGGAUCUUUCCGCGGCUUCCUUCUUCUCAGUUGAGACUAGCAAUUCUUCAAAGGGUGGAGGUGAGUCUCCCUUCAGUUCUACAGUUUCAUAUGGGAUACUCUUCAGUCUUGACUUGAGUGUUUCUACUUACAAGGAGCUCAUUGCAGGAACCGGCAGCUGGUUGCAUGCCUUAACAAUUGGAUGUGUCCAUGUGUCAGUGAGAUUAAUCUAACUUCGGCGACUUCCACCUGCUGGCCCUGGCUCCAUCCUGUGGCUGCAAUUCAGAGUUAUAGCUGACUCGGGAUCCCUGGAAAUUGGGCUAAUUAUCCCCAUAGUAGGAGUUUGGUAAAACUGAAUACAAGAGGCUAAACUGGGAGGGAGGCCAGCGCUUCACAUUUUCCUUUCAACCAAAUAAAACAGCAAGAUUAAGGGCUGUCCCUGGCAUUUGUAAGAUUAUGAUAAAUAUCAGUGUUAAUAACAAUAGUGACAGUAAUAAUUACCCAUGGUGCGAUUUGGAUGCAGGUCAAGAAACCAUCCGGAUCAAAUUACACGUAAGAAAAAUAUGUGUGUUCGGGGUUGGGAAUGUUCUCAAAGAGGAAGAAAAAUGGACACGGUGAAGCAAUUUGCUUUCUAGUGGGAAAUAACUGCUCCUUUGAAUUCCAAAUGGAUCAUGAGAAAUAAAAAGAAAGGCUUUUCUGGCAGGAUACUGUAGAUGAGGCCUCAGCUUUCUGACGAGAUGUGUCUAGGGUAGGAAGGACUCGUGGCAGACAGCAGUCAUCUUUGUCUUGUCCACCGAUAGCAGGUACACUUCUGGUUGAGUACACUUGUUUAGUCAGAAUUGGCUAGUAGAGAUCUUUUCUGUCAGUUUCUGGUGGACAUUUGGUGGGUGAGAUGAGGGAGAGCGUGGUAUUCCUAUAACAGGCUCAUAGAUGGUCUUGCUAGAAAUCAUGGCGUCUAUGCCGCAGACCCUUCACUUGGGCCCAAUUAAGAGCGAUUAAAGUCUGACACAGCUGUUUUCUUCCGAGUCUGUCCCCUUCCGCUUUGGCUCAGACUCCUGCAAGGUUCUGCACAGGCACGUUAAUCUCCUUAGGGAGUAUCUACUUAACCUUUAUCUUCCCCCUCCAAGGCUGAAGCACCAAGAUAAGCCUUUGUCCUCAAUCUGCAGUCACGUACCAGGAAGAGUAAAGCAUUUCAGGAUAGAGCCACACUGGGUCUCAGGCUCCUCCGACUCCCCGGUGGCUAGGCUGCAAUCUGGAGCAUAAAUAAUCAUCUCUGGAGAAUCAGCGUGUCCCUUCAAGCAAUAAGGACUUUUGGGGAUCACCUUAUAGAACUAGUGCUGAGACAAUGAUUAACCCCUCCUUGACCACCUCUUACCCUUUGCCCCAAUUCAUCCUCUGUUUAACCUAAAGUUCAGGUCUAGACCCUGAAGGCAAAGUUAGUGGGGGCCACGAGACCCCUUUAUCCCUUCCUCUUCUUGAUGACCUGUUAAAUUUCUUAGUUUUUCUCCAUUAUUUGUCUCUUCAACUGGCAUUGAGUCUGGUCGCUGAGCCUCGCCUGGUGUUGCCGGUACAGUCCAUGCACUGGCAGCAUCCCCACAGCAGAUCCCUUCUGCAGGCAGGCAGAGAGCCAGUGCCCCACCCCACCCCCACACCCCCGACCCACAGUCUCUUGUCAUCUAGCAAUAAGGCACAGGCAUCUCCUGGUGUUACCAGGCUACUCGCAAGUGAGGUUUUUUUUGUUUUUUUUCCUUUCCCCAAAUUUGAACCUGGAGAGUGUUUACUUCCCGUCUCACCCCAGGGACCUGCUGAUUUUUCCCAUUACUGUAAAUUGCUGCUCUCUGUGCUUUGCAUUUGUUAUUAAGAUGUAAUCAGGGUUGCCUAACUGAUUAACAGUCUUGCCCUCAGCCCCCACCCCCCAGCCCUC